rnacentral:rRNA from 1 species
UACGUAGGGUGCAAGCGUUGUCCGGAAUUAUUGGGCGUAAAGAGCUCGUAGGCGGUCUGUCACGUCGGACGUGAAAAUCCAGGGCUCAACCCUGGACCUGCGUUCGAUACGGGCAGACUAGAGUUCGGUAGGGGAGACUGGGAAUUCCUGGUGUAGCGGUGAAAUGCGCAGAUAUCAGGAGGAACACCGGUGGCGAAGGCGGGUCUCUGGGCCGAAACUGACGCUGAGGCGCGAAAGCUAGGGGAGCGAACAGG